GAUGAACGCUGGCGGUGUGCUUAACACAUGCAAGUCGUACGAGGUUUAUUCAUCGGAAAAGUUUCGGCUUUUCUCGAAUAAACUGCAGUGGCGGACGGGUGCGUAACGCGUAAGAACUUACCUUUGGAGGGGAUAACAAUGGGAAACCGCUGCUAAUACCCCAUAAUGCUGAGGAGCUAAAUGGUUUCAACCGCCAAGAGAGAGGCUUGCGUCUGAUUAGCUAGUUGGAGGAGGUAAAUGCUCCCCAAGGCGACGAUCAGUAGCUGGUCUGAGAGGAUGAUCAGCCACACUGGGACUGAGACACGGCCCAGACUCCUACGGGAGGCAG
rnacentral:rRNA from 1 species